rnacentral:rRNA from 1 species
UACAGAGGUCUCAAGCGUUGUUCGGAUUCAUUGGGCGUAAAGGGCGCGUAGGCGGGAUGGCAAGUCGGUCGUGAAAUCCCUCGGCUCAACUGAGGAUCGUCGAUCGAUACUGCCGUUCUUGAGGAUUGCAGAGGAGACUGGAAUUCCCGGUGUAGCGGUGAAAUGUGUAGAGAUGUGGAGGAACACCAGUGGCGAAGGCGACUCUUUGGCCUGUAACUGACGCUGAGGAACGGAAGCGUGGGUAGCAAACAGG